AGAAUGGGAAGGUGAACAAUAGGGAAGCGAGAGAGGGGUGUACAGCGUUUGAACCAGUGGAGAGAUCCACUAUACUGUGCAUGCAGCUUCGGCACUCCAGAAGCAAGAUAUACCACAUCUUGGUUGUCUGUUCAUCUAAUGGUGGAUGUCUGGGUUGAUGACAGUUCUUAGCUAUUAUAAAUUGAGCAGCUAUAAACAUGGUUGAGCAAAUCUCUCUGAACUGAGGUUCAAUAACUUAACCAUCCACCUAAACACAUUGGACAAACAAAACGAAUCCAACCCAAAAAGCUCCAUGGACAACUUAAAUCUUUAAAGGGAUAUUCACAAAUGACUACAUUGUGUAAGACUCGAAGGAACAAAGAAUUAUGGAAAUUACAGCUCAAAAAGAAUUGGAAAAGGGUACCAAAUACCUAUGAUGUCCCAGAUAGACACAGAUCCUAAGGAGAGAACCAUCCCAUCAUACCUCAAAAGGACUCCAGC